GAUGAACGCUGGCGGCGUGCCUAAUACAUGCAAGUCGAGCGAACGGACGAGAAGCUUGCUUCUCUGAUGUUAGCGGCGGACGGGUUAGUAACACGUGGAUAACCUACCUAUAAGACUGGGAUAACUUCGGGAAACCGGAGCUAAUACCGGAUAAUAUUUUGAACCGCAUGCUUCAAAAGUGAAAGACGGUCUUGCUGUCACUUAUAGAUGGAUCCGCGCUGCAUUAGCUAGUUGGUAAGGUAACGGCUUACCAAGGCAACGAUGCAUAGCCGACCUGAGAGGGUGAUCGGCCACACUGGAACUGAGACACGGUCCAGACUCCUACGGGAGGCAGCAGUAGGGAAUCUUCCGCAAUGGGCGAAAGCCUGACGGAGCAACGCCGCGUGAGGGAUGAAGGUCUUCGGAUCGUAAAACUCUGUUAGUAGGGAAGAACAUAUGUGUAAGUAACUGUGCACAUCUUGACGGUACCUAAUCAGAAAGCCACGGCUAACUACGUG
rnacentral:rRNA from 1 species